UACAGAGGUCCCAAGCGUUUGUUCGGAUUCACUGGGCGUAAAGGGUGCGUAGGUGGCCGGGUAAGUUUGAUGUGAAAGCUCGGAGCUUAACUCCGAAAUGGCAUUGAAUACUAUCCGGCUGGAGGGUCGGAGGGGAGACUGGAAUUCUCGGUGUAGCAGUGAAAUGCGUAGAUAUCGAGAGGAACACCAGUGGCGAAGGCGAGUCUCUGGACG
rnacentral:rRNA from 1 species